GGCCUAAUCCAUAAUUUUAUACGAUAAGGAGAAAAUCUUUGAUACAUCAUGUAGAAUUGAAAUAUUUACAUGGAGAUUAAUCUUUUAUAUAUCAUGUGCAUUCCCGAGGAUUACAUUCUCACUUUAACAUUGUUUUUUUUUUUUUUUUUUUUAUCUUUAAAUCACAUUUCAUUGAAUUUUUAGAAUGUUUGAUAAUAAAAAUUGAAAGUAUAAAAGUGAAAAAAUGUCCUAGAAGAUUAUGAAAAGUGAUCCAGAAGCCAAUUUAUGGAGCCGUCUGCCAGUAUCAUAUUGACAUAGUGAGAAUAUUAGAACCUGAUCAUUAAACAACAUGAAAAGCACUUGAUAAUGUGUAUGUAUAAUCAAUACUGGCAUAACUGACAAGGAUUCUACCUAUAAAACUAACAUGGUCCUAUACCAAGUAACUG
rnacentral:lncRNA from 1 species